rnacentral:tRNA from 1 species
GGCCCGUAGCUCAAUUGGCAGUGCAGGUGACUCUUAAUCACUAGCAGGCUGUUAGGUGGUUUCCCGUUCCUACGGAGUCAUACCAUCGUCCCGAAUUCCUUCGCAGCCU